UACGUAGGGGGCUAGCGUUGUCCGGAAUCAUUGGGCGUAAAGAGCGUGUAGGCGGCUCGGUAAGUCCGCUGUGAAAGUCCAGGGCUCAACCCUGGAAUGCCAGUGGAAACUGUCGAGCUAGAGUCCGGAAGAGGCGAGUGGAAUUCCUGGUGUAGCGGUGAAAUGCGCAGAUAUCAGGAGGAACACCAAUGGCGAAGGCAGCUCGCUGGGACGGUACUGACGCUGAGACGCGAAAGCAUGGGGAGCAAAAGGG
rnacentral:rRNA from 1 species